ACCAGUAUCAUGGAACACACACGCACACACACACGCAUAGUUACACACAUACUACAGCGAAUGCGUGUUUUCAUCUUUGCAGCUGUUUUUACACCGGCGAGAGAAACUAGUGUAAAACGCAAACUGAUACACACCCUGUGCACGUAUGUUUACGUUCCCGGCCGUGGACAAGUCGGGAAUACGUUAUGAAUCGUUCUCAGUCGCGAGGGAAUGCCAGGAAUCGAAAGGGGAGUGCCGUUCAGGGUGAUGAAUUUCAAUCUCUAGGAUUUUCUGGACAAGCCAGAGUGUCUAAUCUCUCCUCAACUUCCAUGAGAAUUUGUUAAAUAUUCAAUCUGGUACCGAUCAUAUCUAAAUUGGCACAACUUUUUUUGGAUAAACAUAAUCAACAUUAAAUAUAUGUCGUGCACGCCCAGUUGCAAUUGCAAUGACACGAAACAAAUGAACAACUUCUUUUUCGAAAGGAACAGAAUUUCUAUAAAGAGAAGCAUUUACGCGUGUCGUUUUCACUUUCCAAACGAAUGUCUGAGAAAUGUACAGUGUCGCAGAAUGUACGGAGAAUGUCGGAAUAUUUGUCCAAGUAUUCUCGACCGUGCUUCCUUCAGACUUGAAAAUAAAAAUGGAGGAGCUGGCGCGAGCCACGUGCGCGCGAUCCAACACGUUCACAAGCACGUGAAAUGUUUCUGAACAAUUAUUAAAAUACUUCGACGAGUUAAACAUAUCGAAAAGCCAAUGAUCAUCGUGCUAUUCGUUUCGUCGUUCAAAAUGAAUUUAUGUCAUCGGCGAGUAAUUCUUCGAGAAGAGAAUGAACGAUAAAUUGAUGGCAAGAUGGAAUGAGCGAAAGGAAGAGACAGCUAAAAUACACUAUAUAUUUUUCUACGUUCAACUUCAUUCAGCUUUCGCGGCGAAUUCUUUAUCUAGUUAGACGUAACACGUCAAAAAAAAAAAAAAAAGGAUAGAAGCAACGCUGGGAAUCGCAAAUACACGUUCGAAAACGAUCGGUAUUCCCGUCCUCCUUUUUUUCUUUUCCCUCGCUCGUGUUAUGUAAAGGCUUUUGCCUUCGUGGAAGUUCUAACGGUUGCGGGUAUCCUUGAGUUUAAAUCCCGAGGCACGUGGCAGAACGCAGGACUUCCUUCGAUAUUCUCACGAUUCACGAAAAUAUGUAUACAUACACUAUAUAUAUAUAUAUAUAUAUAUAUAUAUGAAUGUAUGUAGCAAAUCAAGACGCGAUAAUCGGGAGAAGAUACAAAGCAGAUAAAAAGAAACAGCGCUGUAACUUCAACUCUUUCACCUUCGCCGCUAAAAAAUUGUAAGAAUGUCAUGAAUAUUUAAUAUUAACACCGAAAUAGUAUUUAACGUUUUAUUGGUGACAAUUUCGAAGAAUAAUGUGGGACGAGAUAUCGUCAAGUUGAUUUGAAUCGUCGAAGCAAUCGAACGAGGCAAUACAUAUGUAACACAGUGACGAAACUAAUAAACGCUUGAAAUUUUAUGGUAUUAAACUACUGUGCUAACAUAAUUCUGGAAAAAGAACCUUCCGAUUGAUUGUUUUCUUAUUUCUAUUUGUGCAGUCCAAACGCGAAAUUUUGGCAGAGAGAAAAAAAAAAAGGAAAGAAGAAAAAUUGAUAGACAAAGCAAUCAAAGAUAAGUGUAAAUGGCGGAAGCUUGAAAAAAGAUACGGGAGCGAUAAAGGAAAGGAAGGCACGUGAGGAGCAACCGAUAAAAUCGUCACGAUUUUACCUAACAUGUGACACUCGCUCGGAAACAAGGGGACAAGCGAAACGGCUCGAGCGGCACAUUCAUUAAUCAAUUUAGGACGGUAAUUCUACAUGUAGAGUAAAGAGGAAACAGAGAGACAAAGAGAGAGAGAGAGAGAAAUUCGAAAGGAACAUGGGAGACGACAGGGCGCGAAGAAAGAAAGAUGAAAAUAAGUGGUGACACAGGAAAGGGAAGUAUAACACGGGGCUACCGGAUCACGUUGGAUUUUAUAUCUUCCUAUCCUCUCACCUCGGUGCUUCUCGCUUCCUGUUCGGCCAAAAAGAUAAUUGUAGUUUCCUGACUCAACCGUCGAAACUUCUACAGGGCGUUCAAAUUACGGUACAAAAAAAAAAAAAAAUGCACAAAAUUAAUUGCACAAUUAAUUUACCAAAUUGUGAAUUGACAAAUGCCAAGAAUAGAGCAUAAAUCAUAGACACUUGAAUGCUACAAUCAGUUGUAAUUUUCAAAAUUUCACUAACUCAAUUACGCAAGAGGUUCUAAAUUGUUUUGACAAGAUAAACUGAAUAUCCUCUAUCUUAGUUUAUGAACGAAUUUUAAUAAAUAAAUUAAUAAAUAAAUUCUAAUGCAUAUAGUAACAUACACCAUUCUA